UGGUUUCGGCUUUAAAGCAGCUGUUCUCCCCUAGCCCCCGCAGCCACGUCCACUGCGUCUACACCGGGAGAUCGUGCCGAAAUUCCAGACCUGCCUCCCACUCUAGCAGCGCGGCCACUCCUAGGAUAAGACAGACCGCCCGAGAGAGGCAAGUAUUCAAGGGGUGUUUCACAAGAUAGCUUGUCAAACCCCAUCCCUUUCUCCGCGCCCCUGCUCUGCAGCUUGCUUGGUAGCUUUCUGGGGAGCAGCAAUGGGCCGGCAGCAGGGUGGUGAGGGGACUUUCUUCCAGAAAAAAAGUGGAGAGCAAGCCAUCUUUCUCCCGGGCUGUAGCAAUCUGUGCCAGGUAAAAUUUCAGCUAAAGAUCCUGUCCAGCCCCUUCCCCAGAUUAAGGGCUACGAAUUGGAGGAGCGGCUAGCUGGAGCCGAGACUCGCUAAUCCGAACCUGGGCUGCCCGGGAGGCUGGGGGUUGGGGUGGACCGCGGAGUUUGGCAUCGCUGACGAUUCCAGGUGCAGCAGACCUGUUGCGUGAAGAAAAGCGGCCAGAUUCGGCGUUCCACAAGAUCUGUGCACCGAGAGUUCCGGGACUGUGCUUGCAAACACUCUGAAAGCUCAGAACCGACGAGGGAGGGGUGUACGUGGAUGUGGAAAGUGCUGGAAAACAAAUAGGUAAUCAUCUCGGUGCGAAGGGCCCUUCUUUCCACCCUUUGCGACUGCAGCAAAUGAUCCCAUUAACAUGGGAAGGGAAAUGAAGCGCAGGGAAUCGCUCCCAGGGGAGCCCCAUCUGCUUAAAAAAAAAAAAAAUCAAAACCGCAACUAGUUCAGAUAGGUUCUCAUCCCGCUUUUCCACCCGUCGGGUUCCUGCCUGAGGUCUGAAUCUGACUGUUGAAAAUCCCUGUAACCCCUCUCCAGCGAAUCCAAUAUUCCAGUUUCAGCAUCAGAAACUGGAUAGCGCCUAAUUCCCGGAUAGCCUGGGAGGUGUUGGCACUUGACCUCGACCUCCCAGCUACUCGCUACAAUCUCUCAGACACAACCCAGAGGAGGCCAGGAGGUGAGAUAGGGCUUGCAGAGGAAGGAAGGACUCGUCUUCCUCAUUUCUCCAGGAGUUUGUGUUGGUUUCCAGGAGAUCAUUCCAUGUCCCUUUCGCUACAACCAGAGGAAAAAUUUAGCGCCAAGUGCAGGCAGUGUGGGGGAAGAAAAGGCGCGCCUGCACGCGGUGAGCACAGGAGCAAGCGAGACAGUUUAUUGGGAGCUCCAGGCAUUGGUGUUCUAUGAAAACUCGCCGCAUCUGAGUUCUUUGCCUCUCUCUCUCCCUCUCCCUCCCCACAAUCUCCGUACCCCUUGCUGGGAGUGAAUGGAGGAAAAAGCGUGGAAUAGAGAAGAUAUUGAAGCUGAGGUAAGAUGCACAUUUUAUAUGGGCGCCAACCUUUGGGUAUAGAUUAAAUUUGCCCAAAAUGAACAUCAAGUUUCUUUCUUUCUUUCUUUCUUUCUUUCUUUCUUUCUUUCUUUUUUAAUCCAAUGGAGCUCCAAAUGCCCUCUGUACGAGGAUCAGAGAUGAUUGUUUUCCCAGGGAUGAAAAAAGCCGCAGAAGGGAAAAAGCUGUCACAAAAGGGCUAACGAAGGUGGGGGAGGAGAAGAGCGGACCCGACGCCCGCACUAGCGUGGUUACCAGGCAACCAACUGCAAGCCCCUGCCUCCAGUUGCCUUGGUUACACUGUCCUUUUUGGCCUGAAUUUUCACUGACAAGUAGAAAAGCUGGAUAGAUGGAGAUGACAGCCUUCUAAUUCAGUAUAAAAGCAGAGCAGCCACUUCCCAGGAAGGCUUUGACAGGUAAGUACUGGUGAUCUCUGGAACUAAAGCUCAUCCCAGUCCCUUGUAGCAUUGGAGUUGGACAG